AUUGAACGCUGGCGGCAGGCCUAACACAUGCAAGUCGAGCGGCAGCGGAAAGUAGCUUGCUACUUUGCCGGCGAGCGGCGGACGGGUGAGUAAUGUCUGGGAAACUGCCUGAUGGAGGGGGAUAACUACUGGAAACGGUAGCUAAUACCGCAUAACGUCGCAAGACCAAAGAGUGGGACCUUCGGGCCUCUUGCCAUCAGAUGUGCCCAGAUGGGAUUAGCUAGUAGGUGGGGUAACGGCUCACCUAGGCGACGAUCCCCAGCUGGUCUGAGAGGAUGAACAGCCACACUGGAACUGAGACACGGUCCAGACUCCUACGGGAGGCAACAGUGGGGAAUAUUGCACAAUGGGCGCAAGCCUGAUGCAGCCAUGCCGCGUGUAUGAAGAAGGCCUUCGGGUUGUAAAGUACUUUCAGCGGGGAGGAAGGUGUUGAGGUUAAUAACCUCAGCAAUUGACGUUACCCGCAGAAGAAGCACCGGCUAACUCCGUGCCAGCCGCCGCGGUAA
rnacentral:rRNA from 1 species